rnacentral:lncRNA from 1 species
AAAAUGGUGUAGUUAUUUCACUUUACUAGAUUUUUCUGUUCUGAAAUUGUUUCUGGCCUUCUGCUUGUGAAGGACAUGAUUAUGAAUGUGAACGGUUCAGCACUUUGUUACUGACACUGCAGAUUGUCAGUCAAACUGUAGCUCAGAGAUAAAAAGUGUUUCUGUUUUUUGCCAACUAAAAGCAUUGCAACAGCAGUUUGAAUGUUAACUAUUUAGAUGCCACUCCUUUUAGCAGAGUGCUUCAGCUGUUACAAAAUUCUAAGUGAAGUACAAUUAGCACCAGUGCUGACAAAGAAAAUUAAGAUCCAAGAAAACUGAUAAAAAAGGACAUUGCCAGACCAGCUACUUGCAGGAGCUGCUUUAUCCCUUCUGAGGGCUGACUCUUUGCAUAGGCUUUGUCUGCUUUCUGGCACCGGGCAGGCUCCGUUUCACACAAGUGGAUUUGUAAUUUAGACGCGGUUUUUGGGUUUUUUUGAUUAGUGCUUUAUGCAGAGGAACAUCAUUCUUGUACUGAUGCCUAUACAUAAGGAUAUGUUUCCAUAUAUAUGUGGAAAUUAUCAGGAAGUUAUCCGGAUUGGUAGGAAUCAUAUUACAUCUUAUUCUGCAGGGGUACCUGCUGAAAGUCUUACAAAAACUUCAUUGAAAUUAUUUUAUUUUAUUUUAUUUUUAAUGUAAUCUGCUCUGUCGGUGAUAUCCUAGGGCAGUAUGUUGACUUCAUUUAAUUUUGUAUCAUUGACAACUGAUUCCAGCAGGUUGGAGCCCUCCUCUAGUGAACUGAAGCCAUUUGUGAUGCACAAAGGAUGAGAAGGAGCUCUUCCAAAGGCAGAACUUUACUGCUCUAAGAACAGUUACAUUCAGGCCAGCAAAGACAAGGAAGCUCUAUUAUUUCACCCAAUUCGUUAGCAUGUAUUAGGUAUAAAAUUAUAAAAAUCCUUUGACAAGGAAUUCUUUUUAUUUAUUGAAGACAUAGACUUCUGAAGACAAGAGAGAUGUCUUACCUUCUGCCCCAUGCAGUGAGAAGAGCGGUAUAGCAUGGUUGUCCUGGUUCCUGUCAGAAGAGGAAUAACAUCUCCUGAUUAUCUGACUACCACUUUUCUACCUACCUUUACAUAUUUUUGUACCUUGGCAGGUGGAUCUUUGAGCCACUUGGUCCCAGUACGGUUGAGGUGCUUGGCCCUUUGUAAAUGUUUUAGCAAAGGCUGAAGUUAUUACUAUGGCAGUAUUGCUGUGUCUAAGUAUGAUUAAUAAAAGCAUUUCCUUCUCCA